rnacentral:rRNA from 1 species
GAUGAACGCUAGCUACAGGCUUAACACAUGCAAGUCGAGGGGAAACGAUAGAGAAAGCUUGCUUUUUCUAGGCGUCGACCGGCGCACGGGUGAGUAACGCGUAUCCAACCUGCCCACCACUUGGGGAUAACCUUGCGAAAGUAAGACUAAUACCCAAUGACGUCUCUAGAAGACAUCUGAAAGAGAUUAAAGAUUUAUCGGUGAUGGAUGGGGAUGCGUCUGAUUAGCUUGUUGGCGGGGUAACGGCCCACCAAGGCGACGAUCAGUAGGGGUUCUGAGAGGAAGGUCCCCCACAUUGGAACUGAGACACGGUCCAAACUCCUACGGGAGGCAGCAGUGAGGAAUAUUGGUCAAUGGACGAGAGUCUGAACCAGCCAAGUAGCGUGCAGGAUGACGGCCCUAUGGGUUGUAAACUGCUUUUAUAAGGGAAUAAAGUGAGAGUCGUGACUCUUUUUGCAUGUACCUUAUGAAUAAGGACCGGCUAAUUCCGUGCCAGCCGCCGCAGUAA